CCUUGAUAUUUCCCCCCAGGGUCCCUGGAUAU
rnacentral:sRNA from 3 species